rnacentral:lncRNA from 1 species
AGGGAGCUCCAGGGUGCCCCGGCGCCGGCGGCCAGCUGGUGCGACGUGGGCGCGGCUGCCAUUGGAGAGGGGGUGGGAGAUUUGGAUGGUCUGGUUUCGGUUGGUGAGGCGGAACGGAGGAGGAAGGAGACGGGGUGGACUCUAAAUACGCGACGGGGAGGCGCCUACCUACCCACCCCCUCGCUCCGGCGGCUCGGGUCUGGUGGUCUGGCUUGGUUUCGUGGUGUUUGCCGCACCUACGACGACGAGACCGGUGCUGCGGGUAGCGGGUUG